GACUCCCUCUCCCAUUGGCUAAAGUUACAGGAAAUUAGAACUGAGGCAUGACUCCCUCUCCCAUUGGCAAUUAGAGCUGAGGCAACACUUCCUUUCCCAUUGGCUAAAGUUACAGGAAAAGCUGAGGCAAGAUUCCUUCUCUCACUGGCUGCAGGAUACUCUCUUCCACUGGCUAAAAUGACAGGACGUGGCCAUUUGCAGCCAUGAUGCAAGAUGCUGCUCUCCCAUUGACUGCAGGUUACUUCCCUCCCACUCACUGGCUAAACUUGCAGGGGAUGGUUUCUCUCACAGAAAGUCCUCCAUGAUGUGCUUGUGUGUGACAAAGGGAUGGGGGUGGGGCUGUGUGUGUUACUUCCAUACCAAAAAAGCAUAAAACUGGUGUAAAAUGUAAGUUAUGUUUAUAAAGCUGCACCAUGUGAAUUAACCCUGCCCUUUGGCAAUAAUUCCAUAUAGUAAAGCUGUGAGGCACUUGUUUAUAACCCUGCGUAUACCAGAGUUACACCAGAAUUUACACACAGAGCCCUUGUAUAUCAAAAUACCUGCACUUACAAUAGAUGUUGUCUAACUGCCAUAACACUGAUGUAUAUCAAGAAUCAUAUACCUGCUGUCUAAUCUUGUAAGGUCUUUCAUUGACUUUUUAGUAUAAGCCCUUUAUUUAAUGCCACCUUUAUACUUCCAUUAAUAUCCCCCUAUUCAUGUUAUCCUCUUCCUUUGCUGGGCAGAACUGCCAUACCACUUGCCAAUGUAAGGGCACCAGGAAUGCAGCUGUGAAUGGACACUGACAAUUUAACUCAUACAAAGUGGUUACCCCCUCAGCAGGUCGCGGUAUGAGAAAGAUGAGAAUCUUCAUCCAAGGUGGGAGAGAGCAUCACUGCAGACCUUCUAUCAACAAGGAAGAUUUAUUGCAGAGAUUUCUCACACCUACUGUGGGUCCGUCACUGGCGAGGGCACCCUGGGAGAUGAUACUGUGGCCAAUGGAGAACUCAACGAGACAGAUGAGAUCUGUGAAUAUGGCAUUUCCUCACCAGCUGGAGCCAAUUUCUCAGGAAAUUGAAAGUUCUGAGCGACGAAGCGAUUUCGGAGUGAUUUUGGAGAGAUUUUCAAAUCUACUUUCAAAGUUUUUCAAAGCGAUAUUCAGCGAAUUUUUACACCUUUUUUUCACGUCUGUUAUAAAUAACAUCUUUCAUUGACGUCUGCUGAUAUCGCUUUUUCAUUCCCAACUGCUCUUUUGAGAGCACAAAGACUGGGGGUGCAAUGCCAUUCUGGGCCCCCCAGAGGAAGCGACAAGCAGAAUGUGGUUCCCUCUCCGAGACUUAUAAGCCUCCUGAUGGUCGGCUGACCAAGGACGUGCUUCUCGGAGAGGGUGGAACUGGAGAAGUGUUUAAGGGUCGCCACCAUCGCAAAGGAGUGGUGGCUGUGAAGAUGGCCAACAUCAGCAGGGAUGAAGAGUCUGUUUGCCGGGAAGUUAGUUUUCUCCGGAAGUUCGGCGGCCACAAGAACGUCGCUGCUUUCCAUGGAGCCUAUUAUAGUGCUCCACUUAAUGAGUGUUCAUCGGAGCUGCUGGAGAUUGUCCUUGAAUACUGUGGGGGCGGCUCCCUACAUGACAUGAUAAAUUCCACCGAAGGCCAAUCCCUGAGAGAGACCUGGAUUGGCUAUGUCUGCCAAGAAGUGUUAAAGGCACUCAAGCACAUCCACAAGAACAGAGCCGUGCACCGGGACAUCAAGAGCCCAAACAUAAUGUUUACAGAGAAAGGGAAGGUGAAACUGAUCGAUUUUGGACUCUGCUGGGACCUGGACCCACAGACUGGAAAGUGCUAUGAGAGUGAAGGCACUGUGCACUGGAUGGCGCCCGAGGCCAUAAGGAGGAGAGGCAAACCAGUGGCGUAUGACACCAAAUGUGACAUCUGGUCCCUGGGGAUUACUGCCAUCGAAAUGGCCGAGGGAGAAACACCAUAUGCCAAUCAGUAUCCAGUGUCAGACCUCAUACUGAACAACGAUGCACCGGAGCUUCAAUCAAAGACCUGGUCACAGAAUUUUGUGUCCUUUGUCAAAUCUUGUCUGGAAAAGGAACCAUCAAAGAGGUGGAGUGCUGAAGAACUUCUGCAGCACCCGUUCAUUACUGAACUGCCCCCAAAGAAGACAAUUAGGGCUGAAAUAAAGAAACACCUUCAGGUGCUGCAGAACCAUCUGACCAAGAAAGGAUUGAAGGGAGCAGCUGUCUGGACCAUGAAGAAGCUGCAGAGUGCUUGGUCCUUCUGCACUCCCCAGACAUUGCCAGAACAAAGUGUGGCUGAGCAAAUGGCACUGGAGGGCUUUCCCUCUUACUGAUCUUGUGGCAAAUAACAUCAGUGCUCAAGAUGAACCUCCUUAAUAACAUCCAAGGAGAAACAUCCACAGGGAAAGCACCAGUGCCAAUGACAGCUCCACCAGAACCAUCUCCUUUUAAGCCACCAUAGCUGAACCAGUCGUGUCUUGAACAUCCACUGACAGUGUCUUCACCUUCAUCCAGAGCUCCAUACUUACUGUAUCCUUUUCAGACCACCAUAUUUUCACUAGUGGUGUCUUGAGAUCCUGCAACUCCACCAGCAGUCUCACUUUGAAGGACCACAUCACCACCAGUGGUACCUUACUUUCCAUCUAAUGGCUCCACCACCAGCCUUUUCUCUCCCUUCUAGUGCACCUUUACCACCAGACUGUCAAUCUUUUCACAGGUCCACAUGCCACACAAGCCGCUUUUUCAAGAACCACAGCUCCACUUGUGAUGCCUAAGUUUCCAUCUACUAUAGUUCCAACAACAGCCUCUUCUCCUUAUUCUUCUGCACCUCUACCAGCACAUUCUACCAUCUGCUGCACCUUCAACAUCUGCAGCUCAUCAUUAUGCAGCAUCAGCAUUAUUCUGGUGUGUUUUCUUCAUUUUACUGAAGACUAUCACCUUUUCACCAGAGGUGUCUUAAGCUCAUGCAACUCCACCUGCAUUCAUACUUUCGGUAAGGCUCCACUGUGCCCUCCAGCAUCCUGUCUGCCUGUGUGCAGAUGUGGGAGUGCACAUUCUUUUGCGCAUUCUUGGCACUUGCUGCCAUCUAUGUGCACAUCCACGCACCAUAUCUGACUUUAUAACAUCGCGUGUGCAUGUUUAAGCCUUUUCAUUAAAGAGACACCAAAGGAAAUAUAUUGAGCUUGGUUAUGUUUCCUCGCUCUUGAUCUUAUUUUUGCUGCUUCUGACUUCUGGAUUAUGACUCGGCCUGAUUCCUGGACUUUCUAUUGCUUGAACUCCGCCUGCCUCUUGACCUCUGCCUGUCCCCGACCAUGAAUGAACUCAGCCUGCCUCUGUUUUUUGGCCUGUCCCUGAUUAUGCUUGAACUCUGCCAGCCUCUUGACCUCUGCGUAUCCCUGACCAUGAAUGAACUCAGCCUGCCUCUGUCUUUUGGCCUGUCCCUGAUUAUGCUUGAACUCAGCCUGCCCAGACCUCAGCUUGACUUCAGGAAAUGUCUUCCUUUCUGGUUUUCCACUACCAUCUGUAUUUACACUAUCACAGCUCCAACAGUGGUGUCCACAUUUAAUUGUCACAGCUCCACCAGUUAGAUUUUGCCUUUAUAGUCCACAGCUCCAGCAGUUGUAUCUUAUUUUGUAACAUCCAUUCUUCUUUUCAUGCAUCUUUGUAUCCACAACCAGACUCUCUUUCUUAUUCUGCUACAACUCUACCACCAUGCUAACAUACUUCCAGCAUUUUCAUCUCCGUUAGCAUUACAUAUUACACCUGCCACAGUUAAAACACACUCACAUACCCCUCCACUUCCUCCUACCGAAAUCAUCUUUCUUACAGUCCUCCACUACUGUAUAUAAUAUCUACAGCGGUGCAUCCUCAGCAAAUGGUCUUUCUCUAUACAAACCAAUCCAUUUGCACCACCGGCCAUCUUUAUUCUUCUUAUUUUCCACUCCAACAAUAUUUCCUCGUAACUUUAUAUUGUCUUCAAACCACCUCACAGCAACCACUAAAACUAAGGCCCCUUAAAAUAGUAGUUUCUUCAACUCCCUAUUGCUUCACCAUUGGUGCUUUUUUACUUCAUUUAUUUAACUCCAACUCACAUUUUCAAUCCCUGCAUGCACUCUUAUUGUUUUCUAUUUUUCAUAUCAUCAUACACACACACCCCUCCACAUACUGCACCCUCUCUAGUUUAUCUUUUAAUUCAUAGCCCCCAUCUGCACCUCAAGUGGUAUGGCUUCAUUAUUUUUUCUUCUACUCCAACAAUACCUUCAAACUGACAUUUUGUUUUUAAGCAGCCUCACAUCACCAUAGCAGAAAAUCCUCCACCACAAUCCCUUAGGGCAGAGACACACUUUGAGAUUCGGGGAGAUUAGUCACCUGGCAACACAUCACUUCUUCUUAAAACGACUAAUCUCCCUGAAC